rnacentral:rRNA from 1 species
CCUUGUUUAACAAAAACAUGUCUUUUUGAAUAUAAUUUAAAGUCUAAUCUGCCCACUGAAAAUUUAAAUGGCCGCAGUAUUUUGACUGUGCUAAGGUAGCAUAAUCAAUAGUUUUUUAAUUGAAAGCUGGAAUGAAAGAUUGAAUGAAAUAAAAACUGUCUCAAUUUUAAUUAAUAAAAUUUUAUUUUUAAGUUAAAAAGCUUAAAUAAUAUUAAAAGACGAGAAGACCCUAUAGAGUUUUAUAAUUACUUAUAAAUAAAUAUAAUUAUAUAAAAAUAUUAUUUAUAAAUAAUUAUUUUGUUGGGGUGAUAGAAAAAUUUAAUAAACUUUUUUUUUAUUUAUUCAUAAAUUUAUGUUUAAUUGAUCCAUUAGUAAUGAUUAUAAGAAUAAAUUACCUUAGGGAUAACAGCGUAAUUUUUCUAAAGAGUUCAAAUCGAGAGAAAAGAUUGCGACCUCGAUGUUGGAUUAAAGUUAAAUUUUGGUGUAGAAGCUAAAAUUUUAAGUCUGUUCGACUUUUAAAACUUUACAUGAUCUGAGUU